rnacentral:rRNA from 1 species
AUUGAACGCUGGCGGCAGGCCUAACACAUGCAAGUCGAGCGGAUGAAGGGAGCUUGCUCCUGGAUUCAGCGGCGGACGGGUGAGCAAUGCCUAGGAAUCUGCCUGGUAGUGGGGGAUAACGUCCGGAAACGGGCGCUAAUACCGCAUACGUCCUGAGGGAGAAAGUGGGGGAUCUUCGGACCUCACGCUAUCAGAUGAGCCUAGGUUGGAUUAGCUAGUUGGUGGGGUAAAGGCCUACCAAGGCGACGAUCCGUAACUGGUCUGAGAGGAUGAUCAGUCACACUGGAACUGAGACACGGUCCAGACUCCUACGGGAGGCAGCAGUGGGGAAUAUUGGACAAUGGGCGAAAGCCUGAUCCAGCCAUGCCGCGUGUGUGAAGAAGGUCUUCGGAUUGUAAAGCACUUUAAGUUGGGAGGAAGGGCAGUAAGUUAAUACCUUGCUGUUUUGACGUUACCAACAGAAUAAGCACCGGCUAACUUCGUG